rnacentral:rRNA from 1 species
CCCUUAGAUGUUCUGGGCCGCACGCGCGCUACACUGAGUGGAUCAGCGGGUCAGGUUGCGCGAAAGUGUUUCCUAAUCUUUAAAUCCGCUCGUGAUGGGGAUUGACGGUUGCAAUUUUCCGUCAUGAACGAGGAAUACCUUGUAAGCGCGGGUCAUCAUCCCGCGCUGAAUACGUCCCUGCCCUUUGUACACACCGCCCGUCGCUCCUACCGAUUGAGUGGUCCGGUGAGGCUUUGGGAUCUGGGCGGAAAGAGCGUUUCGCUGUUUCUGCCCGGAAAACUCAGUCGAACCUUAUCAUUUAGAGGAAGGAGAAGUCGUAACA